rnacentral:rRNA from 1 species
AGGAUUCCCCUAGUAACUGCGAGUGAAGCGGGAAAAGCUCAAAUUUUAAAUCUGGCGGUCCUUUGCGGCCGUCCGAGUUGUAAUCUAGAGAAGUGCUUACCCGCGCUGGACCGUGUACAAGUCUCCUGGAAUGGAGCGUCAUAGAGGGUGAGAAUCCCGUCUUCGACACGGACUGCCAGGGCUUAUGUGGUGCGCUCUCGAAGAGUCGAGUUGUUUGGGAAUGCAGCUCUAAAUGGGUGGUAAAUUCCAUCUAAAGCUAAAUACAGGCGAGAGACCGAUAGCGAACAAGUACCGUGAGGGAAAGAUGAAAAGAACUUUGGAAAGAGAGUUAAACAGUACGUGAAAUUGCUGAAAGGGAAACGUUUGAAGUCAGUCGCGUUGGCUGGGGAUCAACCUUGCUCUUGCAGGGCGCACUCUCUGGUUUCGACGGGUCAGCAUCAGUUUUGGUCGCUGGAGAAAGGCUAGGGGAAUGUGGCAUCGCUUCGGUGAUGUGUUAUAGCCCUUGGUUGUAUGCAGCGGUUGGGACUGAGGAACUCAGCGCGCGCCUCUUCACGGGGGUGCCGGGUCUUUCGAGACCACGCUUACGCGCUUAGGAUGCUGGCAUAAUGGCUUUAAGCGACCCGUCUUGAAACACGGACCAAGGAGUCUAACAUGCUUGCGAGUGUUUGGGUGGAAAACCCGAGCGCGUAAUGAAAGUGAAAGUUGGGAACCCUGUCGUGGGGUGCACCGACGCCCGGACCAGACCUUCUUGUGACGGCUCCGCGGUAGAGCAGGCAUGUUGGGACCCGAAAGAUGGUGAACUAUGCCUGAAUAGGGUGAAGCCAGAGGAAACUCUGGUGGAGGCUCGUAGCGAUUCUGACGUGCAAAUCGAUCGUCAAAUUUGGGUAUAGGGGCGAAAGACUAAUCGAACCAUCUAGUAGCUGGU